CCUACGGGUGGCAGCAGUGAGGAAUAUUGGUCAAUGGGCGCGAGCCUGAACCAGCCAAGUAGCGUGAAGGAUGACUGCCCUACGGGUUGUAAACUUCUUUUAUAAAGGAAUAAAGUGAGGCACGUGUGCCUUUUUGUAUGUACUUUAUGAAUAAGGAUCGGCUAACUCCGUGCCAGCAGCCGCGGUAAUACGGAGGAUCCGAGCGUUAUCCGGAUUGAUUGUGUUGAAAGGGAGCGUAGAUGGGUUGUUAAGUCAGUUGUGAAUGUUUUCGGCUCAACCGUAAAAUUGCAAUUGUUACUGGCAGUUGUUAGUAAUGUGUGGGUAGCCGAAAUUCGGUUGGUAGCGGUGAAGUGCUAAGAU
rnacentral:rRNA from 1 species